rnacentral:rRNA from 1 species
CAGGGAUGCCUCAGUAACGGCGAGUGAAGCGGCAAGAGCUCAAAUUUGAAAGCUGGCCCCUUCGGGGUCCGCGUUGUAAUUUGCAGAGGAUGCUUCGGGUGCAGCCCCCGUCUAAGUGCCCUGGAACGGGCCGUCAUAGAGGGUGAGAAUCCCGUCUGGGACGGGGUGUCUGCGUCCGUGUGAAGCUCCUUCGACGAGUCGAGUUGUUUGGGAAUGCAGCUCUAAAUGGGUGGUAAAUUUCAUCUAAAGCUAAAUACUGGCCGGAGACCGAUAGCGCACAAGUAGAGUGAUCGAAAGAUGAAAAGCACUUUGAAAAGAGAGUUAAACAGCACGUGAAAUUGUUGAAAGGGAAGCGUUUGCGACCAGACUCGCCCGCGGGGUUCAGCCGGCAUUCGUGCCGGUGUACUUCCCCGUGGGCGGGCCAGCGUCGGUUUGGGCGGCCGGUCAAAGGCCCUCGGAAUGUAUCACCUCUCGGGGUGUCUUAUAGCCGAGGGUGCAAUGCGGCCUGCCUGGACCGAGGAACGCGCUUCGGCUCGGACGCUGGCGUAAUGGUCGUAAAUGACCCGUCUUGAAACACGGACCAAGGAGUCUAACAUCUACGCGAGUGUUCGGGUGUCAAACCCGUACGCGCAGUGAAAGCGAACGGAGGUGGGAGCCCCCUCGCGGGGCGCACCAUCGACCGAUCCUGAUGUCUUCGGAUGGAUUUGAGUACGAGCGUAGCUGUGGGGACCCGAAAGAUGGUGAACUAUGCCUGAAUAGGGCGAAGCCAGAGGAAACUCUGGUGGAGGCUCGCAGCGGUUCUGACGUGCAAAUCGAUCGUCAAAUUUGGGUAUAGGGCGAAAGACUA